rnacentral:rRNA from 1 species
GUGAGGAAUAUUGCACAAUGGGCGAAAGCCUGAUGCAGCAACGCCGCGUGAGUGAUGAAGGCCUUUGGGUCGUAAAACUCUGUCCUUGGGGAAGAAAAAAAUGACGGUACCCUUGGAGGAAGCCCCGGCUAACUACGUGCCAGCAGCCGCGGUAAUACGUAGGGGGCAAGCGUUAUCCGGAAUUAUUGGGCGUAAAGAGUGCGGAGGUGGUUUUGUAAGCGUAGGGUGAAAGGCAGUAGCUCAACUAUUGUUAGCACUGCGAACUGUGGGACUGGAGUGCAGGAGAGGAAAGUGGAAUUCCUAGUGUAGCGGUGAAAUGCGUAGAUAUUAGGAGGAACACCAGUGGCGAAGGCGACUUUCUGGACUGUAACUGACACUGAGGCACGAAAGCGUGGGUAGCAAACAGGAUUAGAAACCCGAGUAGUCC